UUUCAAUGGCAGUCAAGCAUAAUAAGCAAAAAAAAAGUUUUGCCGUAUUAUUUAAAAAGUUUAAAAUGCAGAAAACAAUUAUUUUGGACCAUCCAAAUAAUUAUAUUGGACGCUCAAGCUGAUUGUUAAAAAAUCGAAACUUUUUACAAUACAUAUUUCAGCGCCCUACAUAAUUGUUUUAAUGAUUCAUAACACAAUUAUUUGCAAGUUUUUAUCUAGCCUGCCUUUUAUAUAUUUCAGUAAACCGUUCUUUCUGUGUAUAUUAAAUUUUAAAUUAAUUUGAAUUUUACUCAUUUCGGUCGGUAUAAUACGCGAGUCGUUGAAUCUCUGAUAAUGCAAAUAUAGAAGUCGAUAAUUUAUUAAUUUAUAUACUUGAAGUAUCAUUUAAUCUACGUUGGAAAUGUAUAAUGUAAAAAUCAAUUAUGAGUGUAUGUUAUCGAUUGCAUGAUCAAUCGUGUUUUUUUAUUAAUUAUGAAUUCGAUUUGCGUUGCACUAUCUGAAGUUGUCGACGUCACUUCCUUCUCCGUCUCGUCAUCAUUUACUAACGUAACAUCGCGCGGGAGUGAAUCGUCUCCGAGUUGAGUCGCGCCGCGAAAUAUUUAAUUAGUGAAUUCAGUCAUUGUUAACUCCGUAUCUAAUCGCGUCUUCGAAUGCGAUUAUCGCGUAGCACUAUAUUAAACAGAAUUCACACAGAUUGUUUGUUAAAAGGCACGAUUCCGCGAGAUUCAUUCCGUCGAAAUUCAUCGCGCGGGCAACAGACGAUUAAUCUUCGAAAAUGCCUUUCCCGGGUAUCUCUCGUCCUAAUUACAUUUGCGUUACAAUGCGGACAAGUAAUCGCAAUGAAACGCGAGAAUUCGAAGUGCGGUAAGUAUGCAACACGCAGCUAGGAACAUUCAGGUUACAACAACGCCGCGCCGUGUUGCUCGUGGAGCGCGUGAAGUUUGCCGCGGAACCUUGGAAUUCUCUUCACCACGGCGGUGCGACGUUCGUUCGCUCCUUCCGAAUUCGCGAAUGUCGAGUGAAUUCGUUCUGAUGAAAUCGCGUAUCGCGUAAUCUUUCACGUUGAUCAUUCUGCUCGAUGUAGUAAAGUGCGCGUCGCGUUUGAUUAACGUCGUAAGUGCCAUACGAAAUGCUAGAGCAUCGUAUUUUGGGGAUGCGCGGUCGGUUAAGGUUAACCGUGUUUUCGCGAGUGUACUAUACAUACAUACACGAGUGCCAUGGAGGGGCAAGAGAGGAGGAGGAAGGCUCGGAGAAGCAUCGAGCGACAGUGGAGAGCAGCCACGAUUCAAUGCAAAACCAUCGGUGUGCAUCGUACUGAAUUUGGAAGGAGAAUAUCAACAGUAGCAGCAGCAGCAGCAGCAGCAGC